UUGUGGCUUAGUGGGAGAGCGCUUGCCUCACGAGCAAAAGGCCCUGGGUUCAAUCCCCAGCAUCACAA